GGUGGCAGGAAGAUCGGCAGUGGUGGGAUGCAACUCUGGGGCUGCUGUGUGAUCAAAUUGACAUGCUCCAGCGUAUGGUGGAGCUUCAGGAAUGGCAGCAGGCUCACAGAGUGCAGCUGCAGCCCCUGUAUAACCACUCUCCUCCCUCACCAUGUUCCUUAGCCUCCUCACCCACCAGACAAGUAAGAACUCAUGGGGGUAGGCUCCGUGCACCUGCCCACUCCACUCCAGUGGACAGCCCAACCAAAAGGCUAUCAUUAUUAUGAAAUUUUCUGUAGUGGCCUAUUCC